AACGAACGCUGGCGGCAUGCCUAACACAUGCAAGUCGAACGAGACCUUCGGGUCUAGUGGCGCACGGGUGCGUAACGCGUGGGAACCUGCCCUUAGGUUCGGAAUAACUCCCCGAAAGGGGUGCUAAUACCGGAUAAUGUCUUCGGACCAAAGAUUUAUCGCCUUUGGAUGGGCCCGCGUUGGAUUAGCUAGUUGGUAGGGUAAAAGCCUACCAAGGCGACGAUCCAGAGCUGGUCUGAGAGGAUGAUCAGCCACACUGGGACUGAGACACGGCCCAGACUCCUACGGGAGGCAGCAGUGGGGAAUAUUGGACAAUGGGCGAAAGCCUGAUCCAGCAAGGCCGCGUGAGUGAUGAAGGCCUUAGGGUUGUAAAGCUCUUUUACCCGGGAUGAUAAGGACAGUACCGGGAGAAUAAGCUCCGGCUAACUCCGU
rnacentral:rRNA from 1 species